rnacentral:rRNA from 1 species
GAUAAACGCUGGCGGCGUGCCUAAUACAUGCAAGUCGAGCGAACGGACGAGAAGCUUGCUUCUCUGAUGUUAGCGGCGGACGGGUGAGUAACACGUGGAUAACCUACCUAUAAGACUGGGAUAACUUCGGGAAACCGGAGCUAAUACCGGAUAAUAUUUUGAACCGCAUGGUUCAAAAGUGAAAGACGGUCUUGCUGUCACUUAUAGAUGGAUCCGCGCUGCAUUAGCUAGUUGGUAAGGUAACGGCUUACCAAGGCAACGAUGCAUAGCCGACCUGAGAGGGUGAUCGGCCACACUGGAACUGAGACACGGUCCAGACUCCUACGGGAGGCAGCAGUAGGGAAUCUUCCGCAAUGGGCGAAAGCCUGACGGAGCAACGCCGCGUGAGUGAUGAAGGUCUUCGGAUCGUAAAACUCUGUUAUUAGGGAAGAACAUAUGUGUAAGUAACUGUGCACAUCUUGACGGUACCUAAUCAGAAAGCCACGGCUAACUACGCGCCAGCAGCCGCGGUAAUACGUAGGUGGCAAGCGUUAUCCGGAAUUAUUGGGCGUAAAGCGCGCGUAGGCGGUUUUUUAAGUCUGAUGUGAAAGCCCACGGCUCAACCGUGGAGGGUCAUUGGAAACUGGAAAACUUGAGUGCAGAAGAGGAAAGUGGAAUUCCAUGUGUAGCGGUGAAAUGCGCAGAGAUAUGGAGGAACACCAGUGGCGAAGGCGACUUUCUGGUCUGUAACUGACGCUGAUGUGCGAAAGCGUGGGGAUCAAACAGGAUUAGAUACCCUGGUAGUCCACGCCGUAAACGAUGAGUGCUAAGUGUUAGGGGGUUUCCGCCCCUUAGUGCUGCAGCUAACGCAUUAAGCACUCCGCCUGGGGAGUACGACCGCAAGGUUGAAACUCAAAGGAAUUGACGGGGACCCGCACAAGCGGUGGAGCAUGUGGUUUAAUUCGAAGCAACGCGAAGAACCUUACCAAAUCUUGACAUCCUUUGACAACUCUAGAGAUAGAGCCUUCCCCUUCGGGGGACAAAGUGACAGGUGGUGCAUGGUUGUCGUCAGCUCGUGUCGUGAGAUGUUGGGUUAAGUCCCGCAACGAGCGCAACCCUUAAGCUUAGUUGCCAUCAUUAAGUUGGGCACUCUAAGUUGACUGCCGGUGACAAACCGGAGGAAGGUGGGGAUGACGUCAAAUCAUCAUGCCCCUUAUGAUUUGGGCUACACACGUGCUACAAUGGACAAUACAAAGGGCAGCGAAACCGCGAGGUCAAGCAAAUCCCAUAAAGUUGUUCUCAGUUCGGAUUGUAGUCUGCAACUCGACUACAUGAAGCUGGAAUCGCUAGUAAUCGUAGAUCAGCAUGCUACGGUGAAUACGUUCCCGGGUCU